GCAGCUACUUGGGAGGCUGAGGCAGGAGGAUUGCUUGAGCCCAGGAGUUUGAGGUUGCAGUGAGCUAUGAUGCCGGCUCUAGAUGUUUACCUGAAACACAAGUAAAAAUAUUAGGUAGAAUAGGAACCUGCUCCUGCCACUGAGGUUCGUCAAAGAUGAAGCUAACUGAUCUGUGAGCUCCUUCGGUAGCCGGGAUGUGAUUUGUGCAGGUCAGAAGCCAGGCAGGGGCGGCUCGCAGGUGGUGAGAUGGGCCACAGACCCCAUUCGGCAGGUGCAAAGGACCAGAGUCGACUAAACGUGAGCCUCGUCCUGCCCUCUGCCCAGGCUCCCCUCCUGAGAACCGGCCAGACUUUUAGGAGGACUUCAGACUUGCACAAGGUAGAGAAUAGAAGUUUGAGCCAAUCUUAUCUGGGGAGGCUCCACUGGCAUCUCUCUGAGAAACAUAAUAAAUAUAGCCAUUAGGAAAAUACUAUAGUAUCAUAAAACAAAAUUAAGAAUUAAGUAGGUGGGUCAGGAAUUUUGCCCUUUACAAUGCCGAGGCGCAGAAAGAUUACAGUAUGUACCUAAGGGUGUGUGUUGGCAGUGCUUGGCUGUGCUCUCAGGUUCCCUGGCUCCUUCUCCUUGUCCUCAGUCCUCGCCUGGGCGGCAAGGACAGUGUCACAGCCGCAGCCACCGGGUAGCUCCUCACCCCUCUCCCCUCAACACCGGCUGCUCCUGGGCCGGUGGGGCCUUUGGGCUGAUGAGCGACGGGUCCCCUACAGUGGGAGUGAGGAAUCGGUUCCUACCACCUUGGACACAGGGUUUUCCUAGUAAGGGGAAGCACGUGAGAAAUAAGUUCAUUAAUAAAUUCUUCACCGGAACAUAAAGAUACUUUAUCUAGCGUAAGAAGGUUUUCUUUGUUCCCAUCAAAGGUUCAGGCCCCAGACAAGAUGGGCGAACCAAAGGUGGGGAGAUGCUGGAGCCACCCGGGCCGCCGCAGGGGAAGAGUCUGUUGAUCUGGCCCACUGUUCUCCUCGCUUCCAGAUAAGGACGCGUGUUUGCGUGUUGACUGAUUCCCUUUCAGGCUUGGUCAUGGUUGCAAGAUGGCUGCGAACAGCAACCCAGGCUACAUCCCGUCUGGGGGAGAGAGAAGCUAUUGCUUCUUAAGGCCACUGCACAGAAUUCCGGAGCUUCCUUCCAGCCGGACCACUCGCUGUGGACCUGCCACAUCAUGUCAUAUCAUCAGUUAUGUUCCCUUAACGAAAUCGACUCAGAACAGGUGCCUGGGGAGAGGUGGGGGUGCUGAGGGGGCUGUUGGAAAGAGGGACAUGAGGGAACUUUCUGGAUGGAUAAAAUUCUUCUAUUUUUUGAUUGGGGUAUUGGUUACAUGAUAUUUUCAUUUGUAAAAAUUUAUGAACUGUAGAUGUAAGAUCUGUGCAUUUUACUGUAUACACAUUAUAUCUCAGUUUAAACAUAGAAAUGUUAAACCAGUGAUUAUGGCAUCAUGGGCGAAUGUCCACGUGCUACAGUGUGUCGAAAAGAAACUCAUCUGAAAAAGCAGAAUAGUCCCCUACUGAGAAGGCACACGGGGGCCAGGAGCGCAGGCUGGGAAGACGGAGAGAUAAGCCGCAGACGUCGUUAAAGGCUGAGCUGAGCCUCUUCUGUAAAGUGCUUAAUCACUGCUAAUUGUACAGUCAGCUAAUUACAGCAAUUAGUCUUGCUUUGGUUUUAACAGCGUUGGGAAUUCCUUUAAAUCAUUUUCCUAGCAGGACCGGGCUGGAUUUUCCUGAGUCUGGCGACUUCCUCAGAUGGUGGCCCGUGACGGUGCAUUCUGGGGGCUACCAAACGAUCCGUUUGCUGGGUUAUCAGCACUGAGCGGAGCGUUUGGGCUGGGUGGCUAAUCCUGGAGCCCGUGAGUCACGCGCCUCAGCCCCAGAGCACAGUGAGAGCACGUUGCGCUCUGCCCGGCCCGGCUCUUGGGGGACCGACCCAGCCUCGCGCAGGUGGAUCAUUCACUGCAGCGCUGUGUGUAACAGCAGAAGAAUAGAAACGUCCGUAUGACAGGAAACUGGUUAAACAAAUUAUGGUUCAUCCACAUAGCAUAAUACUUAAAACAAAACAAAACACAACACAAAGAUGCUCUCUAUGUGCUGGUCUCCAAAAGAGCUUCAAGCUAUGUUGUUACAUGAAAAGGCAGGACAGAGUGCAUAGGAAGGCCAUUUGUAUAAAAUGUAAGAGUGUAAGUUUGCAUUUGCUUGUUGUAUAUGUAUUAAUAUAAAGAAACUUUGAAAAGAGACAAGAAACUUAGUAACAGUGGUUAUGUUUGUGUGGGAGAGUGUGGACGUGUGGGACAUUGAAGCUAAGAGGGAGGUGAGAGAGGGAUAGAGUUGGGGGAGAUUUUUCACUGUAAACCUUUUUAAAAUAGAUUUUGUUUUCUGAGACAAGGGUCUCACUAUACUGUCCAAGCUGGUCUCGAACUCCUGGGCUCAAGUGAGUAUCCCACUUUAGCCUCCUGAGUAUUUGGGAUUAUAGGCGCUCACCACCAUGCUACAAAAGAUUUUUAAAUAAUCAAGUGAAUGUAUUACCUAAUGAAAGAUUGAAAUCAGUUACUUGAAAUGUUCAAAAGUUUUUGAAAAUAGGAAAAGUUUUAGGGGAAGAGGAAAAGCGUCAUUUGUGAAGCUGUCAUGGGGAAUUUGUGUAUUUAAAGCAGUAAUGGACUCUGUUUUAAUUUCUACUUUCUUACAUUCAAUGAAUAAAAGAAUUGUUAAACAA